rnacentral:misc_RNA from 1 species
CAGAGUCAGCUCCUCGCAGUGCCGUCGCCGCUCUCCCCGACCUUACGCGUGUCGUUUGUUGUGCAUCCGAUACACCGCGUACAAAUUACUCCAAUCCCUUGUCCCUUACCGAUAAGCUUGUGAUAUCAACGACAGUGAGUGCGCGCGUGUGUCUUAUCAUAAUCGACCAGUCCCUUCCUUUAUCUUUCAGCUCCCCGAUCGACGCUACCGCCGUUAACUCGGAGUGAUGAACGUCAAUCCCGCUACCGAGUGAACAUAUAACCCGAGGCACGAUGCCGCAGCUGAGAAUCGGCCCAGCUCGGCGCAUCCCUUGCGGCGACUGACCCCGGCUACCUGUCCCAUACAGAAACCGAAGGAAGAUCAAACAAUCAUAAUACAAUCGUGUGUUCGCGCGGGUCUGCGGUGCGCAUCGUCCGGUCGAGCCUUCUUUCGCCGAGAGAAGGCUCGGAGCAGAGUACAAUACACCGCGUCAGAGGUGACAAUGACGACGGCUCGGGCCUGCCGGGGAAGACGGCAGCGUAGCAGCCGGUGCGACAUCCGGGCGACACCUACGUGACGAACCACGUGUCACACGCCCCCGUCCCCCCUCCCUCCGCCGAUCCGCAUGCAAAUUUUUUCGGGAUACCUUCUCGUCGAUAUUUCCCGUUGUGUAUAAAAAAAAAAAAAAAAAUAAUAAUAAUAAUAAUAAUAAUAAUAAUAAUACACAUGCAACAACAAUAGACACGUGUAGCCUAGAGCUCGGCUCCGAUGAUUAUCGAUUAGUGAGUGUAUAUAUGUGUGCAGUGUGUGUGUUGUGCCUAUACUGCUCGUAGUAUAUACCUACUUACAUUAAAGGAGUGAACGCGAUUCGUGCACGUUGUAUAUGUAUAGUGGCUCCUGGUCGACAGAAUAAUCAAUAAUUACAUAAUUAUGUAUGGCAAUCAUGUGAAUUGUGCGAUAAUCGUGUGAUAUAUAUGUAUAUUUUUUCGUUGUACACCCGCACGGGAUAGUGAUAAACAAGAGUUGUGUGCGUGUAUAUAUAUAUAUAUAUAUUUCUUCGUUCGUUCAAUGUUGAAACAGCUCUGUGCGGUUGGCGAUUGUCAAAUUGUGUUGCAAGUUCCGCAUCUCGCCAACAAACGACAGAUCAGUGAUACGAGUUGAAAAAGGAGAUACAUUGGGCCCUUCCUCCCUCCCCCGUGUAAAGGAGCAGUAGGGUAGCCUGUAGGGCUGCCAUCGUCAUCGGUAGCAGCGGUAGUGUUGCAUAUAGUCGAGGAGCGGCAGCCCAAGGGUGCAUUACCAGCAGAGCGCCAGCGUGUUCGGCUCGAGUCUCGUGUUCGGCGAGACGGGUGGCGUCGUGGAGGGGGGAGUGAUGCCGGUGAGGGUGGCGCAGCGCCCCCCGAGUGGACUACUGCACGGCGGCGUGCCGGUGAGCGGCGGUCCCGGCUCGGUGUCCGUUGCCUCUGCCAGCCGCUGCGGCCUCGGCGGGCCCACGUCUAACGGCUCCCCCCCACUUCAAGGCCUCGGUGGUCCCAUAGCCACUGCUACUUCUGUCUCCGCUGGGGGCGGUGGUGGUGUCGUUGUUGUCGUUGGACCCGGUGGUGGUGGCGGUGGUCCCAAUUCCGGACCCAACUCGGCGUCCGGUGCUGCUGCCGGCGCGGGUUUACCACCCGCGCCAUCGUUACUUGGAGUAGUGGCGGGCACAGGAGGAGGAGGAGGGCCCGUUGGUUGCGGGCCCGGAGGCCCGAUCGGCCCACCCAACCCUUUGCAAGCCAUGGCCUCGGCCGCUGCCUCGCUCACGCAGUUAAAUAACAUGGCAAAUGGGCCCCUACCGCCGAUGGGUAGUGGGCCCCAGGGCCCACCUGGUCUACCGCCCCCUCAGCCGGCCACGACGCCGACCCACGGUGGGCCACCUACGCCCCACGGACAGCCGGGAGGAGUGCCGAUGCCGCACCUAAACGGGGCCUCACCCUCGCCCCACUCGAUGCCACACGGGGGAAUGAUGGCCGGAUCGCCUCACGCGACGCAUCCGGGACACAUGGCCGGUGGCGGUCCAUCUCCCCAUCCGCAUCAUCCGGGGCCUCACAUGGUCGGCUCGCCCCAUCCGGGGCCUCAUCCGCACAUGGGACCCGCCGGUAUGAUGGGACCCGGAGGCAUGCAGCCCCAAGGAGGGCCAGGAAUGUGCGGGCCCGCAGUGCCCGGUGGCCCGCCCAUGGGACCGCACGGGCCGCACCCGCAGGGCCCCGGUGGAGUGCCGGGCCAGCCGCACAUGCACAACGAUCCGUUCUACUGUUCGCCCUUCGGAUCGCCGUACUUCAGAUCAACGUUGCCUGUCCCCAGGAGGCACACCCCGUAUUACGGCCAGCCGGACUACCGAUUUUACGAGCUCAACAAGAGGUUACAGCAGCGGACCGAGGAAAGCGACAACCUCUGGUGGGACGCGUUUGCGACUGAAUUUUUCGAAGACGACGCGUCGCUCACGCUCACGUUUAAUCUCGAGGACGGACCGAAGAGAUACACGAUAGGAAGGACGCUGAUACCGAGGUACUUCCGCUCGAUAUUCGAGGGCGGCGUCUCGGAGCUCUACUUCAACAUAAAACACGUGAAGGAGUCGUUUCACAACACCAGCAUAACACUCGAGUGCGAUCAAUGCACGAUGGUCACGCAUCACGGGAAACCGACUUUCACGAAGAUUCAGCAUGAUGCGCUGGGUUCGCAGGUGUGCACGGAGGCGAGGCUACUGCUCGAGUACACGUUCGACGACCUCAUGAGGAUAAAGUCGUGGCACAUGCAGGUCCGGGGCCACAGGGAACUCGUGCCAAGGACGAUGUUCCAGAUGUCCCAGGACCCGACGACUCUCGAACACCUCACCAAGAACAUCACGAGGCAGGGCAUCACCAACUCAACGCUCAAUUAUCUCAAGUUGUGCGUCAUCCUAGAGCCGAUGCAAGAGCUGAUGUCGAGGCACAAGGCGUACGCGCUGUCGCCGCGCGACUGUCUCAAGACGACGCUGUUCCAGAAGUGGCAAAGGAUGGUUGCCCCGCCGGGUAAGCGAGAAUCCCAGAGGCCGACGAACAAGAGGAGAAAGCGAAAAGGCAGCACGUCUGGACCGGGGAAUAACGCGCCGCCAGCGCCGAGUAAAAAGCGAUCGCCGGGACCGAAUUUUUCCCUCACGACUCAGGACGUGAUGGUCGUGGGCGAGCCGUCGUUGAUGGGCGGUGAGUUUGGUGACGAGGACGAAAGACUGAUCACGAGGCUGGAGAACACGCAGUACGACGCCGCGAACAGUCUCGACCCGCACAGCCACGAGGCUCAAGCCGGACCACCGAAUCAUCCGCAUCAGUUUCACUCGGAACCUCAGCCUGGCAACUCUUGGCCACCAGACAGGGGUCCAGGACCCCCACAGGGUGGACCUGGAAAUCAGCAACAACAACAACAACAACAACAACAACAACCACAACAACAACAACAACAACAACAACAACAACAACAACACCUACUACUCUGCUUCCAGGGAGUUCAAGGAGGACCCGGUGGAGCAGGCUCUGGUGUGCAAGGAGCGCAAGACGCGAGCCAACAACAGCAGGACAAGAAAAGCCCCGCGGUGAGCCAGUGAGGCCAGGAGUCCCCGCGCCCCCCCACCAGGGGGCGACGGGGGCGCCGGCCCAAGAACGUGGCUCCCUAGCGGGGCGAGAAUUCUCAACUCCCCACGCCCUAUUUGACCGGCAAUUCGGGUCCACCCCCAUCGGCCGCCAACUCGUCCCUGCCAUCGACUGCCGCUCGCUUCUCCCAGAUCGCAGUCGCAGCAACACCAUA